rnacentral:rRNA from 1 species
GCAAGUCGAGCGCAGUCCUUCGGGACCGAGCGGCGGACGGGUUAGUAACGCGUGGGAACGUACCCUUUUCUACGGAAUAGCCUCGGGAAACUGAGAGUAAUACCGUAUAAGCCCUUCGGGGGAAAGAUUUAUCGGGAGAGGAUCGGCCCGCGUUAGAUUAGAUAGUUGGUGGGGUAACGGCCUACCAAGCCUACGAUCCAUAGCUGGUUUGAGAGGAUGAUC